AUGGCCCAUUCUAAGACUCCCAAUUCCCUCUCUCUUCGUUGUUGUAGUCAUUUGAUGAGAGAGCUCUCAAAACUCAAUUCCUAUUCAGAGAUAUAGUUAAUGACAAUGUUUGCCGAGUAAGUGUGUGAACCCACAAUUAUCUGAACCUUAUGUUUUUCGGGUUUUCACAGAGAAAAAUGACAUUGAACCCCGUUAGAUCUUUCCAUCUAAGGCUUGAUCGGCUAGCCCAUUGCGGCACACCAAAGCCGGAUAUGAUGGUGGCCACUGCCUCCACUGUCCAACAUAGAAGGGGAAGGAUUUUUGAUGGUAGCAUAGAUUUUGAAUCUUAACCCAUGGUGUGUC
rnacentral:lncRNA from 1 species